CAGUAGCCACGGUAAUACGUAGGUGGCAAGCGUUGUCCGGAAUUAUUGGGCGUAAAGCGCGCGCAGGUGGUUUAAUAAGUCUGAUGUGAAAGCCCACGGCUCAACCGUGGAGGGUCAUUGGAAACUGUUAAACUUGAGUGCAGGAGAGAAAAGUGGAAUUCCUAGUGUAGCGGUGAAAUGCGUAGAGAUUAGGAGGAACACCAGUGGCGAAAGCGGCUUUUUGGCCCGUAACUGACACUGAGGCGCGAAAGCGUGGGGAGCAAACAGGAUUAGAUACCCCUGUAGUCCCUGUCUCUUAUAC
rnacentral:rRNA from 1 species